GAGUGAGCUGCUCCUUUGCUUUAAGCUCCUCAUCAGCUACAAGAACUUUAUGAAGUUCCAAGUCCGUUGUGCUAGGCAUGAUCAUAUCACUUCUUCUUCUCUUUUACCUUAGAUUUUUUGUUUUUUUUUUUAAAUUGCUUUCUUUUGGUUUGCUCUUAGUUUUGACAUGUCCAUUUAGCUUACACACUCAAACAAAUACAUUAACAACUCAAACCACAUAUACAAAAGCACAAAAACCAAUAAUAUUGAAUGUCAAUAUACAUUUUCCAUUUAGU
rnacentral:lncRNA from 1 species